AAAGACUGUUCCCUCAACAUGUCCUGUGCUGUGCUCUAGUCUCUUCCUCCUCCUCCUUCUCUUGGCCACAGGCAUGCUUUCAUGGUGAUGGGGAGAUCAGGUUUCAAGGUGGGAACAAGGACUUGGAACACUCUACAUUCCUGUUACCCUAGAACUCCCAGAAAGGACAGUGGUGGAUGUGGAAUUUCUAACAAUCACAGCCAGCACCCAAGCUGGAGUGCAGUGGUGUGAUCUUGGCUCACUGCAACCUCUGCCUCCCAGGUUCAAGAGAUUCUUCCUGCCUCAGCCUCCUGAGUAGCUGGGAUUACAGGCAUGCGCCACCACACCAGGCUAAUUUUGUAUUUUUGGUAGAGAUGGGGUUUCUCCAUGUCGGUCAGGCUGGUCGCCACCGUGCCCAGCCCCAAUCUUCUGUUUUCAAACUAUGUUCAGAAGUUGUCCAGUGUGGGAAACUUCCGCAUACUAAGCCCUUGAAACCGAGGGAGAGAGGAUGGGUCUAUCCCAAAACAAGGGCCAC
rnacentral:lncRNA from 1 species